rnacentral:rRNA from 1 species
AACGAACGCUGGCGGCAGGCCUAACACAUGCAAGUCGAACGCCCCGCAAGGGAGUGGCAGACGGGUGAGUAACGCGUGGGAACGUACCCUUCGGUUCGGGAUAACUCAGGGAAACUUGAGCUAAUACCGGAUACGUCCGAGAGGAGAAAGAUUUAUCGCCGAGGGAUCGGCCCGCGUCUGAUUAGCUUGUUGGUGAGGUAACGGCUCACCAAGGCGACGAUCAGUAGCUGGUCUGAGAGGAUGAUCAGCCACAUUGGGACUGAGACACGGCCCAAACUCCUACGGGAGGCAGCAGUGGGGAAUAUUGGACAAUGGGCGCAAGCCUGAUCCAGCCAUGCCGCGUGAGUGAUGAAGGCCCUAGGUUGUAAAGCUCUUUUACCCGGGAAGAUAAUGACUGUACCGGGAGAAUAAGCCCCGGCUAACUUCGUGCCA